UACGUAGGGGGCAAGCGUUGUCCGGAAUUAUUGGGCGUAAAGAGCGCGUAGGCGGUCCGAUAAGUCGGCUGUGAAAGUCAGGGGCUCAACCCUUGAAAGCCGGCCGAUACUGUCGGACUAGAGUCCGGAAGAGGCAAGUGGAAUUCCCGGUGUAGCGGUGAAAUGCGCAGAUAUCGGGAGGAACACCAAUGGCGAAGGCAGCUUGCUGGACGGUACUGACGCUGAGGAGCGAAAGCAUGGGGAGCGAACGAGG
rnacentral:rRNA from 1 species